GACGAACGCUGGCGGCGUGCUUAACACAUGCAAGUCGAACGGUAAGGCCUUUCGGGGUACACGAGUGGCGAACGGGUGAGUAACACGUGGGCGAUCUGCCCUGCACUUCGGGAUAAGCCCGGGAAACUGGGUCUAAUACCGGAUAGGACUGCGCGGUGCAUGCCGGGUGGUGGAAAGAUUUGUCGGUGCAGGCUAGGCCCGCGGCGUAUCAGCUUGUUGGUGGGGUAAUGGGCUACCAACGCGACGACUGGUGGCUGACGCUAGGGGGCGACCGGCCACAGAUGGACUGAGAGAUGGCCCAGUCGACUCCGGGAUGGAGCAGCAGGGAGUAUUUCCCAAAAGGCGAAAGCAUGAUGAAGCAGCGCCGCGUGAGGGAUGAAGGCCGUCUGAUUGUGAGCCUCUUUGAGUUGAGACGAAGAGUUAAUGACGGUACCUGAAGAAGAAGCACCGGCCAACUACGUG
rnacentral:rRNA from 1 species